UCCGAGCAAUCUACAUCUGGAAAUAAAACUAAGUACGCCGUUUCCUAUCAUCAUCAUCCUCUUCAUCAGAAUCACCACUCUCACGGAAACGUGGAUUCUUCUCCUGCAGCAAAAGAAUGUCACAUUGCAACAACAAAUAUCACUAAAACUGAAGAGGGGACAAACAAUAGAAGCAAAAGAUUUGAAGCUCAAUCUCCUAUUCGUUAAAUCACAAGCUAAAGUCAGGGAAUUUGCUUCUUUAAUAUCCACACUGACUUCGUUUCAUUGUCCAAUUUUACAUUAUUUCGUUUCAGUGGCGAGCAUAGAGUACAUAUGAAAAGAUGGAACAGGACAUGCUGGUGAAAAAAAGCAAAGCAAUAAAAGAUGUAGCUUAAGUAAAUAAAAGAAAAUACCGGUCUGGACUCAUGAUCAGAGGUUCUUCGAGAUUCACGGUCGUAACUCCUCUUUGGAUAAUCUGACCGAUGGUGGUCAUCUUCCCUGUGUCGCUUGCGAUGAUAGUCUGUUUUCCUCAUAAGAUAGAGUUGUUUGUUAAAUAUACUAUACUGAAACAAAAGAUAGAAAAAUACAAUGUUGUAAAGCAUUAGAACUGAAUCAAAAGC
rnacentral:lncRNA from 1 species